rnacentral:tRNA from 1 species
GGUAAUGUGGCCGGUCUGAGGCGCUAGUUUCGGGUUUUUUAAACAUACUAGUCUUUCGAGGCGUAAGUUCAAAUCUCACCGUUAUCA